rnacentral:rRNA from 1 species
UACGAAGGGGGCUAGCGUUGCUCGGAAUCACUGGGCGUAAAGGGUGCGUAGGCGGGUCUUUAAGUCAGGGGUGAAAUCCUGGAGCUCAACUCCAGAACUGCCUUUGAUACUGGGAAUCUCGAGUCCGGGAGAGGUGAGUGGAACUGCGAGUGUAGAGGUGAAAUUCGUAGAUAUUCGCAAGAACACCAGUGGCGAAGGCGGCUCACUGGCCCGGUACUGACGCUGAGGUGCGAAAGCGUGGGGAGCAAACAGG